ACGUAGGGUGCGAGCGUUAAUCGGAAUUACUGGGCGUAAAGGGUGCGCAGGUGGUUUUGUAAGUCAGAUGUGAAAUCCCCGGGCUUAACCUGGGAAUUGCGUUUGAAACUACAAGACUAGAGUGUGGCAGAGGGGGGUGGAAUUCCAUGUGUAGCAGUGAAAUGCGUAGAGAUAUGGAAGAACAUCGAUGGCGAAGGCAGCCCCCUGGGUUAACACUGACACUCAGGCACGAAAGCGUGGGGAGCAAACAGGA
rnacentral:rRNA from 1 species